rnacentral:rRNA from 1 species
GAUGAACGCUAGCGGCAGGCCUAAUACAUGCAAGUCGGACGGGAUUGGGGAGCUUGCUCCCCAUGAGAGUGGCGCACGGGUGCGUAACACGUAUGUGACCUACCUUGAUCAGGGGGAUAGCCUCUCGAAAGAGAGAUUAACACCGCAUAACAUAAUGAUACGGCAUCGUAUUAUUAUCAAAUAUUUAUAGGAUCAAGAUGGGCAUGCGGAACAUUAGCUAGUUGGUGUGGUAACGGCAUACCAAGGCUACGAUGUUUAGGGGAUCUGAGAGGAUGACCCCCCACACUGGUACUGAGACACGGACCAGACUCCUACGGGAGGCAGCAGUAAGGAAUAUUGGUCAAUGGACGCAAGUCUGAACCAGCCAUGCCGCGUGCAGGAAGACGGCCCUACGGGUUGUAAACUGCUUUUGCAGGGGAAUAAACCCCCGUAUGUAUACGGGGCUGAAUGUACUCUGAGAAUAAGGAUCGGCUAACUCCGUGC